AUUGAACGCUGGCGGCAUGCUUUACACAUGCAAGUCGAACGGCAGCGCGGGCUUCGGCCUGGCUGCGAGAGGCGAACGGGUGUGUAAUACAUGGGAAUGAGCUCCGCUGUGGGGGAUAGUUCGGCGAAAGCCCGAGUAAUACCGCCUAAGACCUGCGGGUGCAAGCGGGGGGUCUUUGGACAUCUCGCUCGGGUAGCGGUCGAGGGCCGAUUUGUGAGCUGGUGGGGUAAAGGCCUACCAAGCCGACCUUUGGUAGCUGGUCUGAGAGGAAGGGCAGCCACACGGGGAGUGGAACACGGCCCAGACUCCUGAGGGAGGGCGCAGUGUGGAAUUGUAGGCAACGGGGGAGAGCCUUAUCCAGCGAUGGCGCGUGUGUGAUGACGGCCUCGGGGGUGGAAAGCACGUUUGGCGGUAGCGAAACGGACUGGGCCAAUACGACGGUUGAAUGACGGUACCCGGAGAAUAAGCACCGGCUAACUACGUG
rnacentral:rRNA from 1 species